GAUGAACGCUAGCGGCAGGCUUAAUACAUGCAAGUCGAGGGGGAUUAGUUUUGUAGCGAUACGAGAUUAUGAGACCGGCAAACGGGUGAGGAACACGUACGCAACCUUCCCAGAACUGGUGAAUAGCCCUCCGAAAGGAGGAUUAAUACACCGUAACAUAAUGAAUGGGCAUCCAUUUAUUAUUAUAGUCCCGACGGUUCUGGAUGGGCGUGCGCCUGAUUAUGGUAGUUGGCGGGGUAACGGCCCACCAAGCCUACGAUCAGUAACUGGUGUGAGAGCACGACCAGUCACACGGGCACUGAGACACGGGCCCGACUCCUACGGGAGGCAGCAGUAAGGAAUGUUGGUCAAUGGACGAAAGUCUGAACCAGCCAUGCCGCGUGAAGGAUGAAGGUCCUCUGGAUUGUAAACUUCUUUUAUAUGGGACGAAGAAAGGGAAUUCUUUCUCACUUGACGGUACCAUAGGAAUAAGCACCGGCUAACUCCGUGCCAGCAGCCGCGGUAAUGU
rnacentral:rRNA from 1 species